ACUUUCAUUAUAUAUAUAUCAACUUUCAUUAUAUAUAUAUCAAAUCUUUUUUUCCUACCGAGCCCCGGAAGGGACAUGUCCGUAUGGCGAAGCGACAACGAAGGACACUCACCCGGACGAGAAUUUUAUUGAGUUUUAUUUUAAAAUCGGCCUGAAACACACAGACAUUCAAGCAGUGCGAUGCGCUAAGAGUCUGCCAUGCAGACCAGCGAUCCUGAUAAUGUUGUCGGCCUUGGAUGAUGAGGUCCAGUUACCAGGAGCACUAGUCUGCAGCUUACUGGUUCCGUCUUGCAGCUCCUCCACGCUGUCCUCCUCUCUACAGACCAAAUCAAGAAAAGGGAACCAGGAAGCUGCUGUGGAUCCUCUGCAGUAUCUGGAGAGGUCAGAGGAACGGUUCUUGGAACAGAUCGGAAGACACCAAGACGUGACCUCUGCCAUGCUCCAGAACAUCCAGAAGAUGAAUGAAAACCUUGGUUGCACUGAUGGGACGCAUGGUGUCGGUGCUGGAGCAACUGUCCCAGAAUUAAACUGCAUUGUUGACUAUUGGCUUUUCUAGAAAAUAAAUCUUUUUUAGUACUUCA